rnacentral:rRNA from 1 species
CCUACGGGAGGCAGCAGUGGGGAAUAUUGCACAAUGGGCGCAAGCCUGAUGCAGCCAUGCCGCGUGUGUGAAGAAGGCCUUCGGGUUGUAAAGCACUUUCAGCGGGGAGGAAGGCGUUAAGGUUAAUAACCUUGGCGAUUGACGUUACCCGCAGAAGAAGCACCGGCUAACUCCGUGCCAGCAGCCGCGGUAAUACGGAGGGUGCAAGCGUUAAUCGGAAUUACUGGGCGUAAAGCGCACGCAGGCGGUCUGUCAAGUCGGAUGUGAAAUCCCCGGGCUCAUCCUGGGAACUGCAUUCGAAACUGGCAGGCUAGAGUCUUGUAGAGGGGGGUAGAAUUCCAGGUGUAGCGGUGAAAUGCGUAGAGAUCUGGAGGAAUACCGGUGGCGAAGGCGGCCCCCUGGACAAAGACUGACGCUCAGGUGCGAAAGCGUGGGGAGCAAACAGGAUUAGAUACCCGUGUAGUC